GUUCACUACCUUUAGUUAUAACUUAACUACAAAUUGCUGCAGACCUGCUCAACGAUCAAGUACGCUUGCAGCUGGUCUCUGCAGGACAAAAUCCCCUCCGGUUCGCGCUCUGGAAAGCUGGUCCCUAUUAGCAAUCUCGAUAACAGCACCAGAAAAACGUCAAUACUUGAGGUGAUAUAACACCCAUUUGUAUGCCUACUAGUUCUCUAUCAAAAAUGUCAACCCGGCAUGAGCUACUUUGAGAGCCCCUUGCCUUUGCAUCUUCCCAUAUUUCCAGUCAGAGAACGUCUCCCUAGUAAGAGGGCAAUUAUUUCAACAUUAGCAGCGGGACCCAUGGUAAUCCUAUCUUCGAUCCAGGUACCCGAACGCUCCCAGCGCAAGACGGAAAUCCCAUUUUCGUGAGGCGGAUGAAAUCCGGCUUUUGACAUCACCGAAAUAGGAAGAGCUUGGCAAAAAUUUCUACAUAUCAUGUUUCCCUUCGUACUCUGGCAACUUCAACGAACAGACGCAUAAGCCAUUGUAAACCGAAAAGCUUUCAAGUCUUCACGAAAGGGUUUCCUAUUUGCGGUCGCAGGAGCAGUUGCUUACAUGUGCGCAUGUUCCGUCCGAGAAACUAACCACCUUGAGGGUGCCUUUACUAAAGCUUUGCACCACGCUGAAUACGAACAUGAGCAUCGCCUUCCCGGCCUGAUAUGUCCAAAGACUCAUUCACCUUGGGGAUAAAAGAAUUAGUGGGCUUAUGGCUACAGGCUUGGGCCUGUCACUUACUUGAAUGUGGCUGCUACCCAAUUUUUCCUUAAGCUUGGAAAGGCAUCUUUUGACGAAAGCAGAAGUUGUGUGGCACGUAACUCCAAAAUUCACAGUACAGAACAAACAUACCCAAAGAGAAAAAUAUAUAUAAGACCGGUUCAUGGAACCUCACAAUGCGAGCUGCAAAACCACAGUCGGCAGGUUGGAGAAGAACAUACUUGGGUCUAAGCAAAGCAGAUAAGAAGUAGUAAAGAUCAGGAUAUUAUGUUGGGUUCUUGGCCGGAAGGAGAGAAUGGUAAAGUGACUUUGCGCGGCGCGUUUUAUGGGGCCUGGUAUCAGACAUCUUCAUUUAUAUCAUUAUUCUUUAACCAUCUAUCCUCCAUGGAUUUGUAAUCUCUUGCUGUAACUAAGUAACGAACCAUCUUGCUCGCUGGAUUACGCAGAUCGCCAUGGUCAGCUUUGACUACUGGUUGUAUGACCGGAAUGCGGGAAGCAGGGCCAUAUCGCAAAUACCCGUUAUUCUCGGAC
rnacentral:sRNA from 1 species